CUAAAGCUGCCAGUUGAAGAACUGUUGAGGUUGGCUAUUUGCAACGGGACGAUGAAGAGGAUGUGAAUGUAUGGCUCUGUGGGCCAGAAGGGACUUAACUGUUCUAGUCUUGUCAAUACACAGGAUCCACGCAGGUGAGGAGCAACACAACAAACACCUCCAGAAGCUAAAAGAUGCCCUUCUAAGAACAGGAUACGAUGCUGAACUCAUCAAUUGCCAGUUCUAACAUGCCACAACGAAUAACUGCAAUAACCUCCUCAGAAUACAGACACUGGAAAUGACUGAUCGUGUCCUUUGAUAUCCAAUACUUCCCUGGAGUGGGCAAACUACACCAUGAUCUUUGCAGCCUUCAACGUAUCAUCAAUGACACCAGCAUCUUGCCACGGCCAUCCCUAGGCUUCCACUUCUUCCCUCAAACAACUGCCAAAUCUCAAAGCAGCCUUCAGGACAACAACACCACACAACCCUGCCACAGCAACCACUGCAAGACAUGAAGAUCAUCACUUGUGGGAAUACCACCCACCAUGUAUAUGGUACGUACUUGUGUGCCCCGGCCAAUGGUGUUUACCUUGUACACUGCAGGAAAACAAAGAUGCCCUGAUGUAAGUUAUAUUGGUGAUACUAUGCAGAUGCUACGACAAUGGAUAAAUGUACACCACAGAACAAUUACAAGGCAGGAGGUUUCUCUCCCAGUCAGGGAGCACUCAGCAGUCAAGGCUCUAAUCUUCCCACAAGCGUCCUCCAAGGUGGCCUUCAAGAUACACACAUUUCUGUACCCAUGAAGAUGGCCUCAACCAUGAUCUUGGAUUCAUCUUGUAAUACAUGUAACCCCACCAUACUAUUCUGUAUUUGUAAAAUCAUCUUCCUUACUGUCCUGUUUUGACACCAUCACCUUGAUAACUUAUGACCUCUCUACCUUGAUAAGUUUGUACAGUUUUAUUGAAACCUAUAAAUGUGCCUGUGUGCUCCCCUCUACUUCACCUGAUGAAGAAGCAGUGCUUCAAAAGCUUGUGAUUUCAAAUAAACCUGUUGGACUAUAA